GCUAUCAGAUGAGCCUAGGUCGGAUUAGCUAGUUGGUGAGGUAAUGGCUCACCAAGGCGACGAUCCGUAACUGGUCUGAGAGGAUGAUCAGUCACACUGGAACUGAGACACGGUCCAGACUCCUACGGGAGGCAGCAGUGGGGAAUAUUGGACAAUGGGCGAAAGCCUGAUCCAGCCAUGCCGCGUGUGUGAAGAAGGUCUUCGGAUUGUAAAGCACUUUAAGUUGGGAGGAAGGGCAGUAAUUGACGUUACCGACAGAAUAAGCACCGGCUAACUCUGUGCCAGCAGCCGCGGUAAUACAGAGGGUGCAAGCGUUAAUCGGAAUUACUGGGCGUAAAGCGCGCGUAGGUGGUUCGUUAAGUUGGAUGUGAAAGCCCCGGGCUCAACCUGGGAACUGCAUCCAAAACUGGCGAGCUAGAGUACGGUAGAGGGUGGUGGAAUUCCUGUAGCGGUGAAAUGCGUAGAUAU
rnacentral:rRNA from 1 species